GAGAGAUGGCUGAGUUGGUUUAAGGCGCACGAUUGGAAAUCGUGUAACGGUUGAUAGCCGUUCAAGGGUUCAAAUCCCUUUCUCUCC
rnacentral:tRNA from 1 species